AUGAACGCUGGCGGCGUGCCUAACACAUGCAAGUCGAGCGAGAAUCUGCCGACGGAUCCCUUCAGGGGUGAAGAUGGGCAGAGGAAAGCGGCGGACGGGUGAGUAACGCGUGAGUAACCUGCCCUUAGGAGGGGGAUAACACAUCGAAAGGUGUGCUAAUACCGCAUGAUAUAUAUUAGCCGCAUGACUGAUAUAUCAAAGAUUUAUCGCCUAAGGAUGGACUCGCGUCUGAUUAGAUAGUUGGUGAGGUAACGGCUCACCAAGUCGACGAUCAGUAGCCGAACUGAGAGGUUGAUCGGCCACAUUGGGACUGAGACACGGCCCAGACUCCUACGGGAGGCAGCAGUGGGGAAUAUUGCGCAAUGGGGGAAACCCUGACGCAGCAAUGCCGCGUGAAGGAAGAAGGUCUUCGGAUCGUAAACUUUUGUCUUCAGGGACGAAGAAAGACGGUACCUGAGGAGGAAGCCACGGCUAACUACGUG
rnacentral:rRNA from 1 species